AGCGAACGCUGGCGGCAGGCUUAACACAUGCAAGUCGAGCGGGCGUAGCAAUACGUCAGCGGCAGACGGGUGAGUAACGCGUGGGAACAUACCUUUUGGUUCGGAACAGCACAGGGAAACUUGUGCUAAUACCGGAUAAGCCCUUACGGGGAAAGAUUUAUCGCCGAAAGAUUGGCCCGCGUCUGAUUAGCUAGUUGGUGAGGUAAUGGCUCACCAAGGCGACGAUCAGUAGCUGGUCUGAGAGGAUGAUCAGCCACAUUGGGACUGAGACACGGCCCAAACUCCUACGGGAGGCAGCAGUGGGGAAUAUUGGACAAUGGGCGCAAGCCUGAUCCAGCCAUGCCGCGUGAGUGAUGAAGGCCCUAGGGUUGUAAAGCUCUUUUGUGCGGGAAGAUAAUGACGGUACCGCAAGAAUAAGCCCCGGCUAACUUCGUGCCAGCAGCCGCAGUAC
rnacentral:rRNA from 1 species